ensembl:lncRNA
AGAUGUAUCGACGGUCAAAAGAAGAAGAAUAUUGUAAUCACAACAAAUAAUAUUCAAUUUAACCUAACCAUAUAGCCAGUGCCAUUACUCUUAGCAGGACAUUGUAUUGAUUUUUGUGAUAUUUAAAAAAAAAUGUUAAUGUUAAAAAAAAUAUAUGAUGUUAUUGCAUAAUACUUUUGAAAACAGUAGACAAAGCCUCACUCAUAUGCAUGGGCGGUUUUAUUUCUGACAUAAUUACAAUUGCAUAAAUUAAUCAUACAAAAAUCUGUAUAGCUGUGUAAGUGUUUACAAUAAAUCUGUUCAAGCCUUUUUUCAGCUCAUCAUUUUAUGGCUUUGUCCAUAUUCUAUUUAGUACAUGGUUUUCAUCACUCCAUCAUUCAGUUUUUUCACUAUUCCCUACAUGAAACUUUUACUCUACUGUAAACACAUGACCAUAUGCACAUUUGAUCAUGCCUCCUUCGUUCGUUUAUUUCUCUGCAGCUUCUUAACAAAUUUUACACUUCUAUCCUGAAAAAUCAGUAUAGUGGUGGCAAGUUUUAGCUUUUCUAAUAUGACAAUUUAAACUCAAGAUGGUCAGACGUGCAGGUCAUAGCUGGCCUUGGCUGACGGAAAAGAGUGAAAACAUGCCGUUACCUGCCAAUGUUACAACACAGCUCCUUCAAAGACAUUCACAAUCAGAGUGGCGUAAGUGACAACCAACGGAUGGCGAGACUUCUACCAGAAAAGCGCAUUCAAGAUCAUUAAGACCCCAACCACACAGUGGUGGCCUUGAGGGUACGGAAGCGGCCCCAUAAUCAGAAGGUAAUCCGCCAAGGUGCCACUGAGCAAAGCGCCGUCCCCACACGCUGCUCCCCGGGCGCCUGUCAUGGCUGCCCACUGCUCACCACGGGUGAUGGUUAAAAGCAGAGGACACAUAUCACCGUGUUACCAUGCGCUGUGCUGCAGUGUUUCACAAUCACUUCGCUGUCUUGCUUUCCUUUCCUGCCAUGACUGACAGCGGCACCACCAGUUGGACAUCUCAGGUGCUUUUAGUAGAACUUGUCCUAAAACAAAUAAAAGCUGAAACCUCUGCUCCUCGACAUGAGCCACGUGCACGUAUUCUACGCCGGAUGGUCGAGUUCAAGUUCAAGCAUGACAAUCACCAAUUACCAUUUAACAGUGCAAACUCACCAAACACCAGAAGGAAAAAAUAUGACAUACAACAUAAAACCUGUGACGCAGCACGUCACCACCCUCGCGUCCUCCCGACUUCACGAUCGCUUUCGUUUCGGAGGAAACGGGUUUCGUUUUCCCCGUGCGGGCUGGACAGCUUGCGAGCAGGACCUUGUGGAGGCUGCGGGGUCCUCCAGGAUGUUCUGCUGGGGAGAAGUGGGCGCCGCCGCCAUCACGCUCGCCCUGCGCCUGGGCAGCAGUCCCUCCGUCCACCUCGUCCCCCUUCGCUCCGGCUUGGCGGACAUCGCUGUCGGGGGACCGGGGUUCGUGUCCCUGCUCUGGGAAGACGGCACCGCGACGGCUGUUUGGACCGCCACGAACCACACGGCCAAAAGGAAGCCAGUUCAGCCACCUCCGAACGAAGAGCUGGUGGCCCUGAGGAGUUCCGCACAUCAUCUUGUAGGCGUUUCAGCAGGCGGCAAAAUAAUAGAGUGGAAUUUCUCGAAUGGCAUCAAAAUCUCAAGGACAUUGAACAUCUUUGCUAA